rnacentral:rRNA from 1 species
AGUCAACAUGCCCAGGGGACGUGGAUAACCUCGGGAAACUGAGGCUAAACCGCGAUAGGCCAAGAUUACUGGAAUGGAUCAUGGCCCAAAUCUAUAUGGCCCCUGGAUUGGACUGCGGCCGAUCAGGCUGUUGGUGAGGUAAUGGCCCACCAAACCUGUAACCGGUACGGGCUCUGAGAGGAGGAGCCCGGAGAUGGGCACUUAGACAAGGGCCCAGGCCCUAUGGGGCGCAGCAGGCGCGAAACCUCUGCAAUAAGCGAAAGCUUGACAGGGUUACUCUGAGUGAUUUCCGCUAAGGAAGUCUUUUGGCACCUCUAAAAAUGGUGCAGAAUAAGGGGUGGGCAAGUCUGGUGUCAGCCGCCGCGGUAAUACCAGCACCCCGAGUGGUCGGGACGAUUAUUGGGCCUAAAGCAUCCGUAGCCGGUCCUGCAAGUCCUCCGUUAAAUCCACCCGCUCAACGGUUGGGCCGCGGGGGAUACUACAGGGCUAGGAGGCGGGAGAGGCAAGCGGUACUCGAUGGGUAGGGGUAAAAUCCACUGAUCCAUUGAAGACCACCAGUGGCGAAGGCGGCCUGCCAGAACGCGCUCGACGGUGAGGGAUGAAAGCUGGGGGAGCAAACCGGAUUAGAUACCCGGGUAGUCCCAGCUGUAAACGAUGCAGACUCGGUGAUGGGCUGGCUUCGUGCCAACCCGGUGCCGCAGGGAAGCCGUUAAGUCUGCCGCCUGGGGAGUACGGUCGCAAGACUGAAACUUAA